rnacentral:rRNA from 1 species
ACAUGAAGCUGGAAUCGCUAGUAAUCGCAGAUCAGAAUGCUGCGGUGAAUACGUUCCCGGGUCUUGUACACACCGCCCGUCACACCAUGGGAGUCGGAAAUGCCCGAAGCCAGUGACCCAACCUUAAGGAGGGAGCUGUCGAAGGUGGAGCCGGUAACUGGGGUGAAGUCGUAACAAGGUAAC